AUCUUUGCGCUUGGGGCAAUGACGUAGCUAGUGAGGUUCUAACCGAGGCGCGUCUAUUGCUGGUUGAAAACUAUUUGCCAAACCCCUCUUAGGCUUGGGCUUGGGUUCAAGCCUUUGAGAAUUUCUGGAAGGACUCCCUUUGGGGUAAAGUCUA
rnacentral:snRNA from 1 species